CACGUUGCGCCGGAAAUGAACGGAUUAUAUUGAUGUUAUAAAUUAUAAGAUUAUACAUCUUCUACGUUA
rnacentral:tRNA from 1 species